AGAAACUUAGGAUAAUAUUAAACCAAGGGCCUUCAAAGCCCUAAAUAGGGCAUACUAAACCCUAGUUUCUG
rnacentral:tRNA from 1 species